GGAGGAAAGCAGGGGAUCGAAAGACCUUAUGCUUUUGGAGCGGCCGAUGUCUGAUUAGCUAGUUGGUGAGGUAAAUGCUUACCAAGGCGACGAUCAGUAGUUGGUCUGAGAGGACGACCAGCCACACUGGGACUGAGACACGGCCCAGACUCCUACGGGAGGCAGCAGUGGGGAAUUUUGGACAAUGGGCGCAAGCCUGAUCCAGCAAUGCCGUGUGAGUGAAGAAGGCCUUCGGGUUGUAAAGCUCUUUCAGUCGAGAAGAAAAAGUUGUGAUUAAUACUCACAAUCCAUGACGGUAUCGACAGAAGAAGCACCGGCUAACUACGUGCCAGCAGCCGCGGUAAUACGUAGGGUGCGAGCGUUAAUCGGAAUUACUGGGCGUAAAGGGUGCGCAGGCGGCUCUGUAAGUCAGAUGUGAAAUCCCCGGGCUUAACCUGGGAAUUGCGUUUGAAACUACAAGGCUAGA
rnacentral:rRNA from 1 species